rnacentral:lncRNA from 1 species
CUGACAGUUUGGCUUCCCUGUUCCAGGUGGCAAAGCCUGUGGGGUAUUCACCUACCUGCUGCAUGAAGGCAGCAUGGAGGGACUGUGGUGGAUUAUCUGCAAAGAUGGCCCAAAUUCUCUCAUCCCUGCAGGUACAUACAAGGUUGUUGCAUGGCAUAAGUAAAAUGACAGCUAUAGAAUAUGUGCAACUUUUCAGUGACAAAGACCUGUGAAGCAUUGACAGUACCACCUAAUGAGGUUUCACGAUAACUAAGUAUCACAACCAGUUUACAGACCAGAAAACUGAGACACAGGAAGGGUUGGUGACUUGAGCAAGGUGCAUCAGCUGAAAAGUUGCUAAAACCGCUGUGAGAUUCUGGCUAAGAAAAUUUCAUGAGAAGUUUUACAGAAAAAUGUGAACAGAAGAAAGAACUAGAUAUAAAUUUGAAUGUUUUGAGAAGAAUGCAAAGAAGAAGGGAAGAGUGAGCCUCUCUUUUCCCAUCGUUACCCUCCAUUGUCCUCUUGACACCCUGCUUUUGCAGACAGAGAGUUUGAGACCCUCUCCCAGGAGCCAAGGAGAGGGGAACAGCUGGCUUCACAUCAUCUUUCUAUUCAACAAGACACAAAAAGCUGAAGCCAGGAUGAUAGAAAAGCAACAAAGAAGACACGGUCCUUACUCAUUUCCCUUCCCGCUUCAGAGCAAAU